GGAAUUUUGGGCAAUGGGGGAAACCCUGACCCAGCAACGCCGCGUGAAGGAUGAAGUACUUCGGUAUGUAAACUUCGAAAGAAUGGGAAGAAUUAAUGACGGUACCAUUUAUAAGCUCCGGCUAACUACGUGCCAGCAGCCGCGGUAAUACGUAGGGAGCAAGCGUUGUUCGGAUUUACUGGGCGGAAAGGGCGCGUAGGCGGCGUGGUAAGUCACUUGUGAAAUCUCCGAGCUUAACUCGGAACGGCCAAGUGAUACUGCUGUGCUAGAGUGCAGAAGGGGCAAUCGGAAUUCUUGGUGUAGCGGUGAAAUGCGUAGAUAUCAAGAGGAACACCUGAGGUGAAGACGGGUUGCUAGGCUGACACUGACGCUGAGGCACGAAAGCGUGGGGAGCAAAC
rnacentral:rRNA from 1 species